GACGAACGCUGGCGGCGUGCUUCAUACAUGCAAGUCGAACGAGAAGCUUACUUCGGUGAGUGGAAAGUGGCGGACGGGUGAGUAAUGUGUAGAGAAUCUGCCCUUGAGUGGGGGACAACAGCUGGAAACGGUUGCUAAUACCCCAUAUGAGAUAUUUUGCAAUAGAUAUCUUGAAAACUCCGGUGCUCAAGGAUGAGUCUGCAUCUGAUUAGCUAGUUGGGGGUGUAAUGGACCACCAAGGCGACGAUCAGUAGCUGGUUUGAGAGGAUGAUCAGCCACAAUGGGACUGAGACACGGCCCAUACUCCUACGGGAGGCAGCAGUAGGGAAUUUUUGCGCAAUGGGCGAAAGCCUGACGCAGCAACGCCGCGUGAUUGAUAAAG
rnacentral:rRNA from 1 species